UGGGGAAUAUUGCGCAAUGGGCGAAAGCCUGACGCAGCGACGCCGCGUGAGGGAUGAAGGUUUUCGGAUCGUAAACCUCUGUCAGAAGGGAAGAAACCGCACUGUGCUAAUCAGCAGUGCCUUGACGGUACCUUCAAAGGAAGCACCGGCUAACUCCGUGCCAGCAGCCGCGGUAAUACGGAGGGUGCAAGCGUUAAUCGGAAUUACUGGGCGUAAAGCGCACGUAGGCUGCUUUGUAAGUCAGGGGUGAAAUCCCACGGCUCAACCGUGGAACUGCCUUUGAUACUGCUUAGCUUGAAUCCGGGAGAGGGUGGCGGAAUUCCAGGUGUAGGAGUGAAAUCCGUAGAUAUCUGGAGGAACAUCAGUGGCGAAGGCGGCCACCGGGACCGGUAUGGACGCUGAGGUGCGAAAGCGUGGGGAGCAAACAGG
rnacentral:rRNA from 1 species